rnacentral:rRNA from 1 species
CNGCCAGUACGAGCGGACCGACGGGAGCUUGCUCCCUUAGGUCAGCGGCGGACGGGUGAGUAACACGUGGGUAACCUGCCUGUAAGACUGGGAUAACUCCGGGAAACCGGGGCUAAUACCGGAUGCUUGAUUGAACCGCAUGGUUCAAUUAUAAAAGGGGGCUUUUAGCUACCACUUACAGAUGGACCCCCGGCGCAUUAGCUAGUUGGUGAGGUAACGGCUCACCAAGGCGACGAUGCGUAGCCGACCUGAGAGGGUGAUCGGCCACACUGGGACUGAAACACGGCCCAAACUCCUACGGGAGGGAGCAGUAGGGAAUCUUCCGCAAUGGAAGAAAGUCUGACGGAGCAACGCCGCGUGAGUGAUGAAGGUUUUCGGAUCGUAAAACUCUGUUGGUAGGGAAGAACAAGUACCGUUCGAAUAGGGCGGUACCUUGACGGUACCUAACCAGAAAGCCACGGCUAACUACGUGCCAGCAGCCGCGGUAAUACGUAGGUUGCAAGCCUUGUCCGGAAUUAUUGGGCGUAAAGCGCGCGGAGGCGGUUUCCUAAGUCUGAUGUGAAAGCCCCCGGCUCAACCGGGGAGGGUCAUUGGAAACUGGGGAACUUGAAUGCAGAAGAGGAGAGUGGAAUUCCACGUGUUACCGUGAAAUGCGUAGAGAUGUGGAGGAACCCCCNUGGCGAAGGCGACUCUCCGUCCUGUAACUGA